rnacentral:rRNA from 1 species
UCGGACUGGAGUCUGCAACCCGACUCCACGAAGCUGGAUUCGCUAGUAAUCGCGCAUCAGCCACGGCGCGGUGAAUACGUUCCCGGGCCUUGUACACACCGCCCGUCAAGCCAUGGGAGCCGGGGGUACCUGAAGUGCGUAACCGCGAGGAUCGCCCUAGGGUAAAACUGGUGACUGGGGCUAAGUCGUAACAAGGUAUC